ACGAGAAAGUGGAAGCAACCAUGAGUAAAGUGGCGCACGGGUGAGUAACACGUGACUAACCUACCCUUGAGUGGGGAAUAACUUCGGGAAACCGAGGCUAAUACCGCAUAACACCUACGGGUCAAAGGAGCAAUUCGCUUAAGGAGGGGGUCGCGGCAGAUUAGUUAGUUGGCGGGGUAAUGGCCCACCAAGACGGUGAUCUGUAUCCGGCCUGAGAGGGCGCACGGACACACUGGAACUGAAACACGGUCCAGACUCCUACGGGAGGCAGCAGUGGGGAAUUUUGCGCAAUGGGGGAAACCCUGACGCAGCAACGCCGCGUGGAGGAUGAAGUCCCUUGGGACGUAAACUCCUUUCGAUCGGGACGAUUAUGACGGUACCGGAAGAAGAAGCCCCGGCUAACUUCGUGCCAGCAGCCGCGGUAAUACGAGGGGGGCGAGCGUUGUUCGGAAUUAUUGGGCGUAAAGGGCGCGUAGGCGGUUGGAUAAGUCUUGUGUGAAAUCUUCGGGCUCAACUCGAAGUCUGCACGAGAAACUAUCUGGCUUGAGUGUGGGAGAGGUGAGUGGAAUUCCUGGUGUAGCGGUGAAAUGCGUAGAUAUCAGGAGGAACACCUGUGGCGAAAGCGGCUCACUGGACCACAACUGACGCUGAGGCGCGAA
rnacentral:rRNA from 1 species